rnacentral:tRNA from 1 species
GCCGCCGUAGCUCAGUGGUAGAGCGCACCCUUGGUAAGGGUGAGGUCGAGAUUUCGAUUAUCUCCGGCGGCACCA